CGGGGGGCAGCAGUAAGGAAUAUUGGUCAAUGGGCGCAAGCCUGAACCAGCCAUGCCGCGUGCAGGAAGACGGCCCUAUGGGUUGUAAACUGCUUUUAUACGGGAAUAAACCUCGGUACGUGUACCGAGCUGAAUGUACCGUAAGAAUAAGGAUCGGCUAACUCCGUGCCAGCAGCCGCGGUAAUACGGAGGAUCCAAGCGUUAUCCGGAUUUAUUGGGUUUAAAGGGUGCGUAGGCGGCUUUUUAAGUCAGGGGUGAAAGACGGUGGCUCAACCAUCGCAGUGCCCUUGAUACUGAAGAGCUUGAAUACACUAGAGGUAGGCGGAAUGAGACAAGUAGCGGUGAAAUGCAUAGAUAUGUCUCAGAACACCAAUUGCGAAGGCAGCUUACUAUGGUGUUAUUGACGCUGAGGCACGAAAGCGUGGGGAUCAAACAGGAUUAGAUACCCGAGU
rnacentral:rRNA from 1 species